UAUUAUGUUUCUUCAGAGAACAGAACUGGUCUAGUUUAACAUUAAACAUUGAGGAAAGUAAAUGGCCUGUCCCAGAGAAAGGAACAAUGAUGCUGGCCAGCGCUGUCCAGGGGAAAAUGAGCAGGGGGAACCCAAGCCAGAGAUGGAGAGCAGAGAAGAAAGGGAAAUAUGAGAGGAUUCCUGCAAUCCACUCCAGGCUCUUCCUGCCAACUAUAAUCAUCAUAUGUGCACCUGUCCUUGCAAGGAGAGUCAGGUCUCUCAAGCAGGCGCUCAAUUCUGUGACCAUUCAGGAGUCAACUUGACUUUGGACAUCUGCUGUUUCAUUCAUUCAGAUAAUCUCCAUUGAGGUACGGGCAUUGUGGUGCAGCAGGUUAAGUCACUACAUGGGACACCUGCUUCCUCUAUCGGAGUGCCUAAGAUGGAGUCCCAGCUCUGCUUCUGAUGCAGCUUACUGCUAAUGUGCCUGGGAAGAAGAAGAUAACGUCUUCAGUACUUGUGUUCCUGCAACCCACCUGAGAGUCCCCACUGGAAUUUCUGGCUCUUGACUUUGACGUUGCCCAGCCCUAGCUAUUGCAGACAUUUGGGGAGUGAACCAGCAGAGGGAGGAUAUUUCUCCUCCUUUCCCUUUCUCCAUCUGCUUCUCCUUCUUUGGCUGUAAUUCUUUCAGAUAAUUAAAAAUAAAUAAAUUAUCAAAUAAAUAUUUUG